AGGAUGAACGCUGGCGGCGUGCCUAAUACAUGCAAGUCGAGCGGUAAGGCUACUUCGGUAGUACACGAGCGGCGGACGGCUGAGUAACACGUAGGAACGUACCCCAAAGUGAGGCAUAAGCACCAGAAAUGGUGUCUAAUACCGCAUGUGAUCUUCGGAUUAAAGCUUCGGCGCUUUGGGAACGGCCUGCGCAUGAUUAGCUUGUUGGUGAGGUAAUAGCUCACCAAGGCGACGAUCAUUAGCUGGUCUGAGAGGAUGACCAGCCAGACUGGGACUGAGAACGGCCCAGACUCCUACGGGAGGCAGCAGUAGGGAAUUUUCCACAAUGGGCGAAAGCCUGAUGGAGCAACGCCGCGUGCAGGAUGAAGGCUCUCGGGUCGUAAACUGCUUUUAUAUGUGAAGAUUAUGACGGUAGCAUAUGAAUAAGGAUCGGCUAACUCCGUGCCAGCAGCCGCGGU
rnacentral:rRNA from 1 species